ACUGGGGGCUCAGCCUCCACUGGGCUCUCCUGGCCGUGGGCGCACCCACCCAGGACGGUGGCUGUCUUGACUCAAUGACCGUCCCUGCUGCAGUGCUGGGCAGUGUCGCUUGGAGACAUUUGUGGUCCCCAGUUGCUUCCCCCAGCCCAGCCCUGUCCCCUCUGCUGAAACAGCCUGGUUUGGAUGGAGCUUGGCAGGCUCGGGAGUGGGCACCUGGUGGGGGUCUGUGCCCUGAAACCCAGAAGCAGCUUGGAGGUGAGGGGGGUUGUGGGUGCUGUCCACAGCCAGCUGGCGUUUUCUAAGGAAACCGGGCCCACCAGGGCUGGGAGCCCCACAGUGAGGGGGACCGUCCCAGGCCACUCUGCCUGCCCACCCUGCAGUUCCCACAGGGCCCCUCACAGAGAAGCCCACCCGCAGGGCCCCUGGGCCAGGCCAGGCUUGGCUCUGGAUGCAGGAGGGGUUGAGGUAGGGCUAGGGGAGGAAUGUGGAGUGUGCGGUCAGCUAUUCUUCCCACAUGGCCCUGCCCCAGGAAGGCGGAGGCGGGGAGAGGAGGGUGCUUGUGUGCAGUGGCUGUGCUGAGCCCUCCAGGACAUGCAGGUGCCAUCCUGGUCCCGGGGCUGCAGUGGGCAGACUCGGCCUCUCCACACCUGGCACCCCAGACAAGGACUACUGGGAGGACACAGCCUCUGGGAAGUCACCCUGCUCCAUGCUUGCCUGGCCCAAGAGCUGGCAACACGAGGCCUGAGCUACAGAGGAGCUAGAUUUUGUCUUUCCAGGGCCCCUCCCUGCCACGUGUCCCGCCUUGCCUGUCUCGGGACAGCCGCCGUGCUGCACCAGGCCCUAGCCCCUGCCUAGGAGCUCCUGAGUGAGUGGAGCCUGGCUCUGGUGCUGUUAUUGCCAACAGAGAGGCAAGGUCAGCAUUUGAGAGACUGGAGGCAGGAGAGAAGCAGCCCUUCCACCUGGCCCUGGAGCUGGUUUUGCCUCUCACUGCUUGAGCCAACUGGAACAUGGCAUGGUGGCCUCAGGGCUGGGCAUGGAAGGCCGACUCCAAGGCUGACUCCGAGCCGUCUGUCAGUGACGUGCAAGUCUUUAACCUGCUGUGAGGGGCAGGAGGUCAACUGAGUCAAGGAGCAAAGCCAAGAACCAGAUCUGUACAAAAAAGAAGAAAAAAGUCCUGCCAACAGCCUGGAAGUGAGGCUGCCUUGCAGAGGCAGAACAAAUGAAUAAAUGAAUGAAUGAAUAAAAAUUUUGACCUGGUAA